UACGAAGGGGGCUAGCGUUGUUCGGAUUUACUGGGCGUAAAGCGCACGUAGGCGGAUAUUUAAGUCAGGGGUGAAAUCCCGGGGCUCAACCCCGGAACUGCCUUUGAUACUGGGUAUCUUUGAGUCCGGAAGAGGUGAGUGGAAUUCCGAGUGUAGAGGUGAAAUUCGUAGAUAUUCGCAAGAACACCAGUGGCGAAGGCGGCUCACUGGCCCGGUACUGACGCUGAGGUGCGAAAGCGUGGGGAGCAAACAGG
rnacentral:rRNA from 1 species